rnacentral:tRNA from 1 species
GGGCCAUUAGCUCAGGUGGUUAGAGCGCACCCCUGAUAACGGUGAGGUCCCUGGUUCAAGUCCAGGAUGGCCCA